rnacentral:hammerhead_ribozyme from 1 species
GCACUGCUGAUGAGUCCCAAAUAGGACGAAACAGUUGUCCAGUGC